GGCCUCGUAGCUCAGCCUGGAUAGAGUACAGGACUUUUAAUCCUGGUGUCGCGGGUUCAAAUCCCGUCGGGGCCA
rnacentral:tRNA from 1 species